AAGAGUGCGGGUACGUCUCCUCUAUUUGCUUGUGAUGAUGAAAAGAACCUGGCGGUGAAGCUAGGUGAUAUUUUUGAAGGAAAAAGCAGUCCUUUGGCAGAGAACAACACCAAGAGAGCGAGUACAUCAUCUCUAUUUGCUUGUGACAUUGAAAAGAACGCUAUGGCAGCGCAGCUAGGUGAACCACUAGAAAUCAAACCCAAGGAUUCAAGCAAUUGUGCCAGGAAGAUGACUGGUUUAACCUCUCUGAUUGAAGACCACACCUAAAAUUUUGACCUAUUUCCUAACCUUUUUGUCAACUGUUGUUUGCUUUUUAUAUGUUUUGAGCUGAAACCCCCCGUGUGUUUUAGUAUUUGGGGCCUUAUUUGAAACUACGGACCAACUGCCUACUGGUUUAUCUCGGCGGUCUCCCUUCACAUUUUAUAGUAAGGGUCUAUGAGUCCAUGUCACUAAUACAAACUUACUUAGUAUCAAGAGACUAGUAAAGGAGAACUGGUAAUUGUGUUGUCAGUUCAGUUCUUUGAUAUUUUUCAACAGAAGUGUUUUGCAUAAGUUGCAAACACUUGUUAGCUUGUAGUAUGUUUUACUGAUAUGAUGAUAAUAAAG
rnacentral:misc_RNA from 1 species